CCACCAUGAUUCUAGGUGUCCUGUGGCUUCCCCAGUCACUUGGAACUACAAUAGCUGAAGAAUGUGAGAAAGAAAAAUCAAAAGCACACAAAUGAGACUGUGCAGUGAAGAGGCCACAGAGACAACCAUACUGUCUUUUUGUAUCACAAUAAGCAAAGUACUCCACAAGUUAAGAAGAGGUUAUGUCACAGUAAAUCCAUCAAUACCAAGGAAAGAGGUUUAUUGAGCACGUGGUUCUCUAGGCUGGGAAGUUCAAGACUGGACAGCUGCAUCUGGAAGCUUCUGGUAAAGGCUUUGUACAGUAUGAAAAUAUAGAGAAACAGAAGGGGAAGCAGGUGUUGUUAAGAGACCAGACAUGAGAGACAGCCUCAUUUUAUAACAGCCAGGGUAACUAAAUCAGUCUGAGGAGAGCAAGAAUUUACUCUUGGAAAAAAGACAUUAACUUCUCUUAACGAUCUAAUCUUAAGGCACAAUGUCUCAACAAUGUCUCACUUGGGAACAAGCAUCAACGUGAGUUUUGAUGGGAACAAACCAUCUUCAAAUUAUAGCAGUUUACUUUUCACUCUAUUAAUUGUGUUCUUUGAUGAAUGAAAGUUUUUGAUUUUGAUCAAGGCCAAUUUAUCUAUUUCUUCUUUUUUGUUAUCUGUACUUUUUAUGUCAUACCUGUAAAAUCAUUGCCAAACUCAAUGCCAUGAAUUCUUUUAUCCAUAUUUUCUCCUAAGAGUUUUAUAUUUUAGCUCUUAUGUUUAAGUCUUUGAUACAUUUUGAGUUAAAUUUUGUACAUGGUGUAAUAUAAAUAUCCAACUUUUGCAUGUAGAUAUAUUUUCCCAAGCAAAAUUGUUGAAAAGACUGUUCUUUUCCCAUCGAAUAAUUUUGGCACACCUGUAAAAAAUAACUGGAUUAUGAAUUCAGGGGUUGAUUUCUGGACUGCCUAUUACUGCCAAUUAGUAUUUAUGCCUGUACCACACUGUUUUGAUUACUGUAGCUUUGUAAUAACUUCUGAAAUUAAGGAGCAUAAGACCUACAAGUGUGUUUUUUCUCAAGAUUGUUUUGGCUAUUCAGGUCCCUUGAGAUUCCAUGUAAACUUUAGGAUGUAUUUUUCUAUUUCUGCAAAAAACAUCAUUGAAAUUUUUAUAGGGAUUUUCACUAAAUCUAUGGAUCAUUUUAUGUAGUAUUGACAUUUUAACAUUAUUCUAAUCAGUGAAAAUGGAUUUCCAUUUAUUUAUGUCUUCUUUAAUUUCUGUCAGCUUCAUUUUAUAGUUUUUAGUGUACAUGUCUUUAGCCUGCUUGGUUACAUUUAUUUCUAAGUAAAUGAAAUUGUUUUUUAUAUUUCCUUUUCAGAUUGUUCAUUAUUAGUGAACAAUGAUAUGCAGCUAAAUUUCAUGUGUUGAUUUUGUAUUCUGCAACAUUGCUGAAUUUAAAUUAGAACUGAGCCCUAUUAGUUUUUUGCCACAUUUUUAGGAUUUUCUGUGUGUAAGAUCAUGUCUUUUAAAAGAAAUAAUUUUAGUUUUAUUUUUCCAAUUUCAAUGUAUUUCAUUUAUUUAUUUGUUGCCUAAUUUCCCUGGUGAGGAGUCUAUUAAAUAGAGGGAUGAAAGUGGGUAUCCUUACAUUGUUUGAUUCUAAGUUUCUUUUUAAAUUAUAAACACAGAAAUAAAAAUGCUGAACAUAUUUGUUUGAUUGAUGCAAUUGAAUUUUAUGUUCUAAAGGUAUGUAUUUUAUGUUUAUGUCAAUUUGCAAAAUAAUUAUAAUUGUCUUUAUUGUGGGAAUUUGGGAUCAGUUACUCAAUCAAAUGAUUGCUCAGUUCUCUAUUUUACUUCUCUCAGUAGCAAAGGUAUAACAGAAGGAGCUUGUGGAAUGCUCAUUAAGUUACAAACAGACUGGUAAUUUAACAAUGGACUGCCAAUAGAACAAUAAAGCCUGUGUAGCUUUAUUGUCUUGAUACAGCGCAUAAUUUUUGACAGAAGCAAUAGAUUUUUUUCAUUUUUCUAAAAAACUUGUUCUCAAGAUAAUAUUUGUGUAGCUCUGCAGGAAUAGACAUCAUCUGCUGAGAGGCAUUCAUAAAAAUAAAUAAUGGGGGAAUUCCCCUCCAGCCCCUAUACACACUUUCUUUGAAAAGCAGUGACCAUCACUGCAUUUGGCUUUUUUAAUUGGCACUGAUUUCCUUUUUUGGCAAAUGAAACUCAAUUUUUCAUACAAGCCAGCCUUCACUGUCUAAUCCUAAAUAUAGGGGCAGCUUUAUCACUUACAUUUGGCAUGGAAGGCUAUACAAAUCUAUUUGGCUUAUUUAAUUCACUGAAAGAGGUAAUUUUCUAAAUAACUUCUAUUGGCCUAAAGGAGGUAAGGUGCUGCCAGGUGGGUAGUUUAUUCUCAUUGGCACAAUCAUAUCAGGACAUGAACGGGAUCCUCACUCUGGGUUUCUAGACACACAAACAAGCAGAACAUGCAACUAAGCAAAGGGAUUUGUACUCUUUCUGUAUUGGUAAGAUUCUCUUAACCUUUGCUGUAUGGAUAUAUAUAUAUAUAUCCCUUGAACAACACAGGUUUGAACUACAAGGGUCCACUUAUACACAGAUUAUUUUUAAUCAAUAUGUUUAUUUAUUAAGGUAGAUAUGUAGCAAAUGCAUAAAAUACACAUAGAUACUAGUCUAUUUACAUGCUAAUCAAUCAUUUAUGUUAUCAGUAAGGCUUCCAGUCAAUAGUAGGCUAUAGUAGUUAAGUUUGAGGAGUCAAAAGUUAUGCAUAAAUUGUCAAUUGCAUGAGAAUUGGCACCCCAACCCCAACAUUGUCCAAUGGUCAAAUGUAUAUAAAUAUAUAUAAAUGUAUACUGUAUAUAAAAUAAUAUUUCUGUUAUAUUAAUGAUUAGGAUUUUUAAAUGUUUGUAUUUUGAAAUAUAACACAUAUAUAUAAUGCAUAAAAUGAAUCUAUAAUGCAACAAAUUAUCACAGAAAUCAAGCAUGUAAUGCUCAUCCAAAAAAAGAAAUAGACCACAAGAAAUAGUUCUUUCUGUGCAAUCUUCACUCCAACCAUCUCCUUCCUCAUGAAAGGUAACCACUACUCUGACAUCUGAUUCUAAAGUUCAAAUUUGCCAUAGAAAUCCUUAAAUAAAUUGAAUAAUAUGUAUUCUU
rnacentral:lncRNA from 1 species